AUUGAACGCUGGCGGCAUGCCUUACACAUGCAAGUCGAACGGCAGCACGGGAGCAAUCCUGGUGGCGAGUGGCGAACGGGUGAGUAAUAUAUCGGAACGUGCCCAGUCGUGGGGAUAACGUAGCGAAAGCUACGCUAAUACCGCAUACGAUCUACGGAUGAAAGCGGGGGAUCGCAAGACCUCGCGCGAUUGGAGCGGCCGAUAUCAGAUUAGGUAGUUGGUGAGGUAAAGGCUCACCAAGCCGACGAUCUGUAGCUGGUCUGAGAGGACGACCAGCCACACUGGGACUGAGACACGGCCCAGACUCCUACGGGAGGCAGCAGUGGGGAAUUUUGGACAAUGGGCGCAAGCCUGAUCUAGCAAUGCCGCGUGCAGGAUGAAGGCCUUCGG
rnacentral:rRNA from 1 species